CCUAUGGAGAGUACUAGAACUUGUGAGUAGUACCUUGAUACGAAAGCAUACUCGUUGAAGUAGGAA
ncrna:unclassified sequences RAGATH-18 RNA